ACCCACUGAGUUCCUCAGUUUGGGUCUCCUUAACAUAAGGUCACUGUCCUCAAAAUCACUGUUGAUAAAUGUUCUUAUUAUGGAACACCACUUACAUUUGUAUGGCUUUUGU